AGCGCCAUUUUCAGAGGUAUAAGCAUGCUGAUUGUCAUAGCUCUUUGAAUGGUACUGC
rnacentral:pre_miRNA from 1 species